rnacentral:rRNA from 1 species
CUGGGGGAGUGACGGUCGCAAGAUUAAAAAUUAAAUGAAUUGACGGGGGCCCGCACAAGCGGUGGAGCAUGUGGUUUAAUUUUGAUGCAACGCGAAGAACCUUACCUACUCUUGACAUCUACAGAAGCCAGCGGAGACGCAGGUGUGCCUUCGGGAACUGUAAGACAGGUGCUGCAUGGCUGUCGUCAGCUCGUGUUGUGAAAUGUUGGGUUAAGUCCCGCAACGAGCGCAACCCUUAUCCUUGUUUGCCAGCACUUCGGGUGGGAACUCCAGGGAGACUGCCGGUGAUAAACCGGAGGAAGGUGGGGACGACGUCAAGUCAUCAUGGCCCUUACGAGUAGGGCUACACACGUGCUACAAUGGCGCAUACAGAGGGCGGCCAACUUGCGAAAGUGAGCGAAUCCCAAAAAGUGCGUCGUAGUCCGGAUUGGAGUCUGCAACUCGACUCCAUGAAGUCGGAAUCGCUAGUAAUCGUGGAUCAGAAUGCCACGGUGAAUACGUUCCCGGGCCUUGUACACACCGCCCGUCACACCAUGGGAGUGGGCUGCAAAAGAAGUGGGUAGUUUAACCUUCGGGAGGACGCUCACCACUUUGUGGUUCAUGACUGGGGUGAAGUCGUAACAAGGUAACCG